CCGGAGCUAACGCGUUAAGUCGACCGCCUGGGGAGUACGGCCGCAAGGUUAAAACUCAAAUGAAUUGACGGGGGCCCGCACAAGCGGUGGAGCAUGUGGUUUAAUUCGAUGCAACGCGAAGAACCUUACCUGGUCUUGACAUCCACGGAAGUUUUCAGAGAUGAGAAUGUGCCUUCGGGAACCGUGAGACAGGUGCUGCAUGGCUGUCGUCAGCUCGUGUUGUGAAAUGUUGGGUUAAGUCCCGCAACGAGCGCAACCCUUAUCCUUUGUUGCCAGCGGUCCGGCCGGGAACUCAAAGGAGACUGCCAGUGAUAAACUGGAGGAAGGUGGGGAUGACGUCAAGUCAUCAUGGCCCUUACGACCAGGGCUACACACGUGCUACAAUGGCGCAUACAAAGAGAAGCGACCUCGCGAGAGCAAGCGGACCUCAUAAAGUGCGUCGUAGUCCGGAUUGGAGUCUGCAACUCGACUCCAUGAAGUCGGAAUCGCUAGUAAUCGUGGAUCAGAAUGCCACGGUGAAUACGUUCCCGGGCCUUGUACACACCGCCCGUCACACCAUGGGAGUGGGUUGCAAAAGAAGUAGGUAGCUUAACCUUCGGGAGGGCGCUUACCACUUUGUGAUUCAUGACUGGGGUGAAGU
rnacentral:rRNA from 1 species